rnacentral:rRNA from 1 species
UACGGAGGGUGCUAGCGUUGUUCGGAAUCACUGGGCGUAAAGCGCGUGUAGGCGGCCCACUAAGUCUGAUGUGAAAGCCCGGGGCUCACCCCCGGAAGUGCAUUGGAAACUGGUGGACUCGAGUCCCGGAGAGGAGGGUGGAAUUCCUGGUGUAGCGGUGAAAUGCGCAGAUAUCAGGAAGAACACCCGUGGCGAAGGCGGCUCUCUGGGACGGUACUGACGCUGAGACGCGAAAGCGUGGGGAGCGAACAGG